rnacentral:rRNA from 1 species
GGCUGAAACUCGCCUACAUGAAGCUGGAGUUACUAGUAAUCGCAGAUCAGAAUGCUGCGGUGAAUGCGUUCCCGGGUCUUGUACACACCGCCCGUCACACCACGGAAGUUGGGGGCGCCCGAAGCCACUUAGCUAACCCUUUUGGGAAGCGAGUGUCGAAGGUGAAAUCAAUAACUGGGGCGAAGUCGUAACAAGGUAAC